AUUGAACGCUGGCGGCAGGCCUAACACAUGCAAGUCGAACGAGUGGCGGACGGGUGAGUAACACGUGGGAACCUACCCAUCAGAGGGGGAUAACACUUGGAAACAGGUGCUAAUACCGCAUACUGAUGGAUGAACCCGCGGUGCAUUAGCUAGUUGGUGAGGUAACGGCUCCACAAGGCGAAGAGCCCUAGCUGGUCUGGGAGGCUGACCAGCCAAACUGGAACUUAGACACUGUCCAGACUCCUACGGGAGGCAGCAGUGGGGAAGAUUGCGCAAUGGGCGCAAGCCUGAUGCAGCCAUGCCGCGUGGAUGAGGAAGGCCUUCGGGUUGUAAAGUACUUUCAGCGGGGAGGCGUUACCCGCAGAAGAAGCACCGGCUAACUCCGUGCCAGCAGCCGCGGUAAUAC
rnacentral:rRNA from 1 species